AUUGAACGCUGGCGGCAGGCCUAAACAUGCAAGUCGCACGGUAACAGGAAGCAGCUUGCUGCUUUGCUGACGAGUGGCGGACGGGUGAGUAAUGUCUGGGAAACUGCCUGAUGGAGGGGGAUAACUACUGGAAACGGUAGCUAAUACCGCAUAACGUCGCAAGACCAAAGAGGGGGACCUUAGGGCCUCUUGCCAUCGGAUGUGCCCAGAUGGGAUUAGCUAGUAGGUGGGGUAACGGCUCACCUAGGCGACGAUCCCUAGCUGGUCUGAGAGGAUGACCAGCCACACUGGAACUGAGACACGGUCCAGACUCCUACGGGAGGCAGCAGUGGGGAAUAUUGCACAAUGGGCGCAAGCCUGAUGCAGCCAUGCCGCGUGUAUGAAGAAGGCCUUCGGGUUGUAAAGUACUUUCAGCGGGGAGGAAGGGAGUAAAGUUAAUACCUUUGCUCAUUGACGUUACCCGCAGAAGAAGCACCGGCUAACUCCGUG
rnacentral:rRNA from 1 species